AUGCUCAACUACUCUGCUGCCUUUUGCCUUAGUGUUUAUUUUCCUGAUGAAAUUUUCUCUUCUUUUUCUCUCUCUUUUCCUGGAUGAACUUUUUUAAUUCCCUUUUUCUUCCUUUUUUUCCCCCCAUUUUUAGUUUUCUCUUCCAUUUCUCAAGAAAUAACUUCUUAUUCUAUCUCACUCACACCAAAUGCUGACAUUUGGGAAUCCCAGAUCUUAUCUGUCUCUUUUCUAGUUCCUUCCACACAUUCUAAAACAAGUCCAGAUCUAUGUACUUGCAAAAAGAAUGUCUGAUACUCUUGGUGCUAUGUAUUCGGAAGGUGCCCUCAGUGCUACUGUCAGUGCUCAACAGACUUCACAUUGUGAAGCACAGUUUUCCUUCUCAUCAAGCCACCAGCUCUAUGACAAUGGCUCUCAUUUGGGUAGGAAGCAAAGCAGAUACUGAAAAUCAAAAGAACAUUAAGAAGAGAAAAGUUGUCAUGGAAAGAGCUCUGACCCCUAAUUCAGCUGAGGCUGCCAGAGAAGGAGAGUAUCUGCCUCUUUUUUGUCAGGCACUUAGAAACUCACUUAUGGGGAAUACUAGCGAUGUAGUUUGCUUGUACAUAAAUUUCCUACCAAAAUGUAUGAAUUUUAUACAAUUUGAUAUUCUUUGUUUGAAUGAAUGAAUGAUCUCAAACUUUACUCUUUAUUUUAUUUGUCUGAUUACAUGCCUGUGUCACCAAAGCUGUGAAAUCCUGUAAGGCAGAAAAAAAAAUGUUUUCACAUAGCUAUACUUUAAGAUACCAACAUCACCUGGCGUAUGGCAGGGCACAACACAUAUUUGAUGACUAAAUGAAAAGAAUAUAAAAUAUCACCUAGCUGUACACCAAUAAUUUGAGACAUAAUUAUCAUAUCUGAGAUCUGCGUGAUUUUUUUUUGGAGACGGAAUUUUGCUCUGUUGCCCAGGCUGGAGUGCAAUGGCACAGUCUCAGCUCACUACAACC